UACGGAGGGUGCGAGCGUUGUCCGGAAUCACUGGGCGUAAAGGGCGCGUAGGCGGCGCGGGGAGUCAACGGUGAAAGCUCGGCGCUCAACGCCGAGUCGGCCGUCGAUACUCCCCGUGCUCGAGCACUGUAGAGGCAGGUGGAAUUCCGGGUGUAGCGGUGGAAUGCGUAGAGAUCCGGAAGAACGACCGGUGGCGCAAGGCGGCCUGACUGGGCAGUAG
rnacentral:rRNA from 1 species